UACGAAGGGGGCUAGCGUUGUUCGGAAUUACUGGGCGUAAAGCGCGCGCAGGCGGCUAUCCAAGUCAGUGGUGAAAGCCCGGAGCUCAACUCCGGAACUGCCAUUGAAACUGUUUAGCUGGAGUAUGAGAGAGGUGAGUGGAAUUCCCAGUGUAGAGGUGAAAUUCGUAGAUAUUGGGAAGAACACCGGUGGCGAAGGCGGCUCACUGGCUCAUAACUGACGCUGAUGCACGAAAGCUAGGGGAGCAAACAGG
rnacentral:rRNA from 1 species